rnacentral:lncRNA from 1 species
AAAAUUAAGCAACUAAGGAACACUUCACUGAAUAAAGUGGAGAAUACUUCACUGAACAAUCAAUUUUAAAAGGAUAUGGUGCUCGCAUUAGAAUCACUUCAAUGCACUACCCACUCCGCCAAACUCCUCCUUAUAACUUCCAAAACAGUAAACACUUCCCUCACUUAGAUGGCCAUAACAAUAUCAGUAAUUUGCUACUCCGGGGAAUACUCGAGCAUACCGAAACACUUACCCAAAGUUACGGUCCUACCCGACCAAGCCCUUUUGCCGGCUCGAAUAGUCCGUUGAACAGAGGGUUUUGGGGCCCAGUCCAGCCGCUGUGGUAAAAUACACACACGGCUUACAGUCAUGCACACUUACAAUAACACUUGAUCAAUUAUCAACCUUCAAGCUCAAACUAAGUCGAAUGCAAUAAAGUAUACUCCCGACUUAGAAGACGAGGGACAAUUGAGAUACACUUUAUAAUGAAUCACUAACAAUAUUCCAUAAUAAGCACAUUUAUCAUAUAAUUUCACUUAACUAAACACAAACAGUUUAAAACACAAAUUCGGAAACACUCACCAAAUUUCAAAUAAAUUACUCUCGAGCCUUGAGUUUGCUUUCUGGUUCACAGCUACCCCCUGAGAUAAAUUUAUAACUCUAAAAUGAAGAUACAAUUUGUAGAUAAUCACUUAUCAUUUGUUACCUUAUAAUUUAAACUUAUUAAAGUCAAGUUUUGGCUUUAAAAUACAAGAUAUAAUAUAUCUAACCUUUUCUUAAAUUUUAUCUCGAAACUUAUCAACUUUAUUAUUUUAAACAAAGAAAUAUACAUAUUUUUCAAGUUUAUAAUUUAUAAAAUAUUUAAAUUAGGAUUAAACCAUUUUCCAUCCAAGAUUCUAAUAUUAAAGCUUAGGAACACUCCAUUGGUUCCAUUUUAACUAAUUAACUUUAAGCCAUUUGUAACUUAGAUUUUAUUUCUCUACACUAGUCCUUCAAGUCUUAAAAUCUUUAAAAUGAUGGUGAGGACAAGAUUAGUUGAUUUGAAGCCAUGUUAUGUAUAUAACUAUAACCAGUUACUUUAGGGUUUCCAAAAAUGUCAUAGAAAGGUUUGCUAGCUACCGUUUUAGUCAAUAUCUAAGUUUCAGCAAUAUACUUCCUAAAUUCUGUUAAUAUUUCAUCUUUUACUUAGCUAAAUCAUUAAAUACUUGAUAUUCAUUCUGUGCCUGCCUAAACUAGAUCAAACAACAUGUACCCUCAACACAUAAUUCCAGCAAAAACAACAAUAAAUUCAGUCCUCAGCUAAAUGCAAAUUCCCAGUAGCUAGGCAGUCAAUUACAAGACUGUUUCCCCCCAUCUUCUUUACUUUCCUCCUCCUAACUCGACAUGCUGGGAGUAAUUAUCCAACUACAGAGCAUCGUAAGCAAGAAUAUAUGUUGACAGCCAAAAAUGAAAGAACAAAGCUGAACCGAGUCUUAAACUCCCUCUCGGCUAGAGUGAAAAGAAACUCUUGCAGCAGAUUGAGCUCAUUCUUCCUUCAAUGUUCACUUUAGUUUCAAUUCAUUUCUAUCUUACUUGUUGAAGUUAAGAGACUUAUGACAUGCUACAGUUCUAUACGUUUGUCUAGAGAUUAAAAUUUGCGAAGGAUAACCAGAGUUUCCUCUCUUCUCUUUCGGUUGCGGUCACUAAAUUUCCAGCAAAACAAUAGUUCAUCAUUUGACAUUUUCUCACCUUUUCUUUCUCAGGUUUUGGUCUCAAUCACUCAUGCAGAGGAUACUUAAUUUGUUGCAGGUUAUCCUAAGCUAGACAGGGUAGUUCUUGACCAAAAUUUCUGAGGAAAACUGAAUAAAAUUACAAGUCUGCACAAGCCUGCUACAUCUAGUGCAUAGCAGACUGCACCAGGUUACUUUCAUGCCCACAGUUCCAAUUCUUACAACUCCUACGGUUAAUCCUUCUUUUAUUACUUAAAGUGGACAUAAUCAUGCUUUCCUAGCUGUAGUUUCCAUUUUCUAAUAACUAGCCACAUAAUUAGCACUUAUCUCUGGGUUAGAAGUCAGAACUUCCUCUUAGCGGACAGUUGAUUCUAAACAAAAUUUCUCCGGCAACAGCACUUAGUUUUUCUUGGCUAGAUUCCAGCACCCACAACAUGCAAAUUCAAAUAUACCAGAUGAUUAAGAGGUUAUAUACAAAUUUCCAUCAUUCAUGGAUUAAAAUCCAAGCAACAGUUUUCAGUUUCUUCCAAAUCUGUCCAACAGCUUGAUUUCCUUCAAACAAGAUUUCACCUUGUCUAAGAGUCCAUUUCUUUACUAAGUUCUCGUGCAACUAAUGUGAUUUUUCAGUUACACCGAAUAAAUAGAAAAUAGGUGCAGGUUCUUACCCUUUUCUCCUAAGAAUUCGAUGUUGCAGGCUGCUAAAAUUUCUGAUUCUGGUUCCUCACUCUUAGCUCUAGUUUCCUUUACCUUCUGACAGUAUUCUCUCGUCUUUGUUUGGCUGGUGAUACAGCUUGCUAAUCCUUUUUUCCUCACACUCAAUUUUUCACCCUCGAUCCUGUUUUUGUAAGAUGCAAGAAAGAAAGAAAGAAAAGAAGUCUGUCUUCUUCACUCCUUUGAUCACCGCCCAAAUAAUGAGCCUACUGUCUAGUUACUUCCUCUUGGUUGUUUUGUAGAGUUUUAAUGUAAGAAAGACAACAAUGCUACCUAAAUCCUCUUGCUUUCGGUUACUCCAGCCUC